GUUUACGGCCAUACCAGCCUGAAUACGCCCGAUCUCGUCUGAUCUCGAAAGCUAAGCAGGGUCGGGCCUGGUUAGUACUUGGAUGGGAGACCGCCUGGGAAUACCAGGUGCUGUAAGCU
ensembl:rRNA 5S_rRNA 5S ribosomal RNA